GGGUGAUGCUGUGAUGUGCCGAUUGAAAACGCGUGUGUGAAGCGGCAGGCUGAAGCAAUUAGUUACCACAAUCAGGGGUGAUCUGAAGGCCCGGUGGGAAUCAGAAUGCUCUGGAUUAUUCUCCAUUAUGCUAUUACAUAAAAUUUAAUUAACCUGAAACCAAAAUGAUAAUCAACAAUGACAACCUACCCCUGCUGAAAAGCAGCACUGAAGCUGCUGGAGGGAUGAGCUGGCUGAAGGGGAGGCAGCGGCAGAGAAGGGAUUCUAUUAAUGGAAGGAAGAGUGAAAGAGAAGGAAGCUCAGGAAGGUCUCAUAGAAGAUUCACAGAGAAAGUAUGUAAGAUUAAGGACAAAAUUAAUUUCAUACUGUUUCUUUCUUUGACUGCUGCUGAAUGUAUGGCAUGUGGGACAAACCGGUGCCUGGCUUAACUACAGAAAAUUGAUAGCAGCUGUACUUCUGUGGGGAUUAGAAGGAACUGCUUCCUGACUCACAGGUCUGUGUAAAAUAUAUCCAUGCACAACUUGGCUUAAUGUAUUCUUCAACAGAUAAAGCUAGCAAGUUAAGGAACCCAAAAAUGUUUCUUUUUAAUUUACCACAAACACCAUCAUUUGUUAUUCUUGUCAGUUCUUUUAUUGGUUUUCAUCCUAAAGACUAGCACAUUUACAGCAUACAUGGAUUGGAUGAACUAGAAUAUAUAAAACAGUAGCCAUAUGAUAUAUUAAUACUGCCCAAAACCAAAUAAAUAAAAAUAUUUCAAUGCACAAAGCUUGGCAAAUACAGUUGUCUUGGGACAAAACAGUUUUGUAUUAUACAAUAAUUUUACAUGUAUAAAUGAAACAAAAGGCAACUGUGCUGUAGGUACUUUCACAGAACAUACACAGAACAUACUUGGCAACAGUUGGUUUUUUUUUUACCUUUGUAUGUUUUAUAAUUUAAAAAAAUGUACUCAAAAAAGACCAUUAGACAGAACUUAUUUUUACAGUAAUCCUUAAUUUUGCCUCUCCUGUGCAACAGAAAAGCUUACUUCACCCUUGUGAAGCGUCCUAUGUGGAUUUCAAGUUUCACAGUUUUCCUUUUUUGAUGAACUGCCCAAGAUCUUACUGUUCAUUGCACCCUUUAAACAAGCCCAUCAACGUGCAUGUAUUGACACUGGCGUAUAUAUAAAAUGUUAGCUGGACAACCAUGUUUUACGUGUAAGCAUACUGAAACCAGGAUAUUUUAAACAAAAUAACGCCAUACUUGAGACUGGUAUUCCACCACUUUGAAAAGGUGAGCAAAAACCAUGCACAUACAAAAUUCAGCCACUUUUUCUGAUUACAUUGGUAUAGAAAAUAAAUAAAGGCUCACUAAGCUUGAGAGCAGAUCUAAUGAUUGUUGGACACAGUGUGAGAGAGUGGCUCUGUUAAUUGUUACAACAGACCUCUUGUUCUUCUCUUCUGAAGCUGAACAUCACAAGAUUUUUAGUGUAACAAUACAGGACUUAGAAUAUAAUUCAAUAUGUUUGAAAUAUACAAAAUAAAAUUAUCAACUCAUAAAAACUAAGGGAUACAAAGAGUAUAGUUUAUACAAAAAUAAAUGUAGCAUUUAAUAAUGGGCCUGGGACUGAAGGUUGAGCAGAGAUCAACCAAAGAGAUCCCAUUGAAAAGUUUUCUCACCAUAUAUUUGUUUACUCGUUAGCAAAAAAAAUACAAACCAACAUUUAUUUAUUUAUUAUGGUGAACAGGGUUGGUAAAAUUACAAGGGACUGUUCUACUGUAGGUGAUUUGCUCACACCUGGGACAGGUACUACAAUACAUAGAUUUUGCACACAGUUCAGUGUUUUGUUAUCUGAAAGAGACAGAACUAACAGUAACAGCCUCACUCAGCAGAACACUCUCUGACCUGGCUCUCUGACAUGCUGCUCAGCGUUUGAUUGCAACAAGCAAAAUGCAAAAACUGCUGGACCUGUAACCCCCAAACCUGCAUGGGAGCAGAAUGAACAUGACUGACUGAGAGAGCAGUGACAGCACAGACAAACAUCAGUGAGAGGGAGAAAGGAACCAGAAAACAGCCAUAUACUUACCUGGCUGUUGCUACUUUCACAAGAAUAAAUGGGCAGAUUUUUCUAUUCUAAAACUGACAUUCUUAGAAGCUAAGAAGAACAGGGCACAGUGUGCUGAAGGCUGAUUUAAUCCUGUUAGGUAUUCUGUUAAAAUCUUGUUCAAAUUUGGAAAUUAAGGUUUAGCUGCUUUUUAAAAAGGUAUCGUAGUUUCAAAGGCAUUCUUUGGGAGAUUAUUUCUGAGGAGAUCUGUUGAAUGUUUUUUAUCAAACACUUAUCAAACUGAUCACCUUGUCAUAAGCUAGAACACACCUGCAGUUCUAGCGCAGUACUGGUAGUACAUGAACAGUUCCUUUCUAUCAACAUGGGGCAUUGGCACCUUCCUCAGAAAUGCCCUGAAAACACUCAUACUUGCCCUCCCUGGAUUCUGAACACCUGCCCAGGUAAAAUGCAAAGAAAUCAAUUUGGGUUAUGGAGUAGUAGGAAUGCAUUGGGCACUUUCAGCAUUUUUGUACUGACAUACAAAAUUGACAUGAGAGAAAAAAAUCAAA